rnacentral:rRNA from 1 species
GAUGAACGCUGGCGGCGUGCUUAACACAUGCAAGUCGAACGAAGCAUUUGCGACAGAUCUUUUCGGAGUGAAGUUGCUUAUGACUGAGUGGCGGACGGGUGAGUAACGCGUGGGUAACCUGCCUCAUACAGGGGGAUAGCAGCUGGAAACGGCUGGUAAUACCGCAUAAGCGCACGGAACCGCAUGGUUUUGUGUGAAAAACUCCGGUGGUAUGAGAUGGACCCGCGUCUGAUUAGCUAGUUGGUGAGGUAACGGCCACCAAGGCGACGAUCAGUAGCCGGUCUGAGAGGAUGAACGGCCACAUUGGAACUGAGACACGGUCCAGACUCUACGGGAGGCAGCAGUGGGAAUCUUCCGCAAUGGGCGAAAGCCUGACGGAGCAACGCCGCGUGAGUGAAG